rnacentral:lncRNA from 1 species
AUGAUUACAAAAAAAAAAUACAAAUUUAAAAAUUAAAUUUAGAAAAAAUAAAACAAAAAAAUACCCGCUAGAAUCUAGUGCUUUUUAAAAUAACCUGCAAAAAGUUGUAAUCACAAAAUUUUGCAUGUUUGAUGUUGUUUAUUAGUAUAAUAUAUGGCAAGUUAAUAUUCUUUCUAAUAAAAUGCUAAAAUAAAAAUAAAUAUAUUUUCCUCUUCU